UACAAAGGUCUCAAGCGUUGUUCGGAUUCAUUGGGCGUAAAGGGUGCGUAGGUGGCGCCGUAAGUCGGGUGUGAAAUUUCGGAGCUUAACUCCGAAACUGCAUUCGAUACUGCGGUGCUUGAGGACUGGAGAGGAGACUGGAAUUUACGGUGUAGCAGUGAAAUGCGUAGAGAUCGUAAGGAAGACCAGUGGCGAAGGCGGGUCUCUGGACAGUUCCUGACACUGAGACACGAAGGCCAGGGGAGCAAACGGG
rnacentral:rRNA from 1 species